UACGUAGGGUGCAGGCGUUAAUCGGAAUUACUGGGCGUAAAGCGUGCGCAGGCGGUGAUGUAAGACAGGUGUGAAAUCCCCGGGCUUAACCUGGGAACUGCAUUUGUGACUGCAUCGCUGGAGUGCGGCAGAGGGGGAUGGAAUUCCGCGUGUAGCAGUGAAAUGCGUAGAUAUGCGGAGGAACACCGAUGGCGAAGGCAAUCCCCUGGGCCUGCACUGACGCUCAUGCACGAAAGCGUGGGGAGCGAACAGG
rnacentral:rRNA from 1 species